GGAGGAAUAUUGGUCAAUGGGCGAGAGCCUGAACCAGCCAAGUAGCGUGCAGGACGACGGCCCUAUGGGUUGUAAACUGCUUUUAUAAGGGAAUAAAGUGAGUCUCGUGAGACUUUUUGCAUGUACCUUAUGAAUAAGGACCGGCUAAUUCCGUGCCAGCAGCCGCGGUAAUACGGAAGGUCCGGGCGUUAUCCGGAUUUAUUGGGUUUAAAGGGAGCGUAGGCCGGAGAUUAAGCGUGUUGUGAAAUGUAGUGGCUCAACCUCUGCACUGCAGCGCGAACUGGUCUUCUUGAUACGCACAACGUGGGCG
rnacentral:rRNA from 1 species